rnacentral:lncRNA from 1 species
GGCGGAUCCAGAAAUUUUCAUAAGUAUGGGCUCGCUCCGGUCAUGCUUCAGUGAUUCCCUAUAUAAGAAACCAAAUUUUUCGCAGACCCGUCGCCUUCCUUGCCCCCCCCCCCCCCUAAUUCCGCCUCUGCACCCAAUCUUAAAGUUAUAUUUGACAUAUAGGAACUGAAGUGACUUCUCUUUCCAGGAAUUUGAGUCUACAACCUUGGAUUUUUUAUUUUUUUAUUACUGAGCUAAACGCGUUGCAGGAGACAUAGAAAUACCGGGCGUCCGAUCGUCCGGUCUUGUUAGCACUCUUAUGUGUACAAUUCUUGUCAGAUUAAGUGAAACUCAUAUCAUAAGCAAUGUCUUUGACAAUUUGGAAAAUAAGUCGUGAUCAAAUAUUUUUAACCAGUUAUAACCAUUUGAAAUAUAAAUUGUAAUGGAAAUCCCAUUUCAUUUGCUGUGAAGCUUAUUGAAAAGAAAAAAAAAAAGUGCUUUUUUAGUUAUUCCCUAGCUUGUUCCUUGUCCUUUAAUAGAUAAAAUAUGACAUGAAAUGUGCUUGGCGGGGAAAAUUGGAUCUUUGUUCUUUACUGAUUGAAUUAAAAUUAGUAUUUGAACCUAGAUAGAAACGGGAAUUCAUUAGCCUAGGACUUAUCACGAUCUAUUACAAAUUGAUUUUUUCAUCACGUCGUUUACCAUGUCGCAAGAAACGUUACGAUAUCAGGAUAUGGUGUUUUAGUUGUUAGUUGCUAUGGUCAAAUGAGAAGUCAUCACUCCACUAGGUUCAAUUUCAGAUGAAACAUGUCCACGGGUCUGUGUAUCAGUCCUCUCCGCUUGCCUAAGCCGAUGACGUAGACUUUUUUUACGACCAAAAGUUAACUUGAAACACUAUUCUGCGAUUCAACUAUCUUGUUUACAUAAACGAAAUUAUCCUUAAUGAAAGAUCAGGCAUAGUGCUUCGAAAAUGACUGCUCAUAUCCUCAGCCUUGUUUUAUUUGGAUACUUCCGAGUUAAACUGCUGCUAUUUUUUUCUUUUGUCAAAAUGAUGUGGAUGCUUGAGCAUCUGAGCAUACAUGCAAGCUACGCCACUG